rnacentral:rRNA from 1 species
UGCAAGUCGAGCGGACCGACGGGAGCUUGCUCCCUUAGGUCAGCGGCGGACGGGUGAGUAACACGUGGGUAACCUGCCUGUAAGACUGGGAUAACUCCGGGAAACCGGGGCUAAUACCGGAUGCUUGAUUGAACCGCAUGGUUCAAUCCUAAAAGGUGGCUUUUAGCUACCACUUACAGAUGGACCCGCGGCGCAAUAACUAGUUGGUGAAGUAACGGCUCACCAAGGCGACGAAGCGUAGCCCAACUGAGAAGGUGAUCGGCCACACUGGGACUGAAACACGGCCCAGACUCCUACGGGAAGCAGCAGUAAGGAAUCUUCCGCAAUGGACGAAAGUCUGACGGAACAACGCCCCGUGAGUGAUGAAGGGUUUCGGAACGUAAAACUCUGUUGUUAGGGAAGAACAAGUACCGUUCGAAUAAGGCGGUACCUUGACGGUACCUAACCAGAAAGCCACGGCUAACUACGUGCCAGCAGCCGCGGUAAUACGUAAGUGGCAAGCGUUGUCCGGAAUUAUUGGGCGUAAAGCGCGCGCAGGCGGUUUCUUAAGUCUGAUGUGAAAGCCCCCGGCUCAACCGGGGAAGGUCAUUGGAAACUGGGGAACUUGAGUGCAGAAGAAGAAAGUGGAAUUCCACGUGUAGCGGUGAAAUGCGUAGAGAUGUGGAAGAACCCAGUGGCGAAAGCGACUCUCUGGUCUGUAACUGACGCUGAAGCGCCAAAGCGUGGGGAGCGAACAGGAUUAGAUACCCUGGUAGUCCACGCCGUAAACGAUGAAUGCUAAGUGUUAGAAGGUUUCCGCCCUUUAGUGCUGCAGCAACGCAUUAGCACUCCGCCUGGGGAGUACGGUCGCAAGACUGAACCUCAAAGGAUUGACGGGGGCCGCACAGCGGUGGAGCAUGUGGUUAAUUCAAGCACGCGAAAACUUACCAGGCUUGACUCCUCUGACACCCUAAAAUAGGCUUCCCUUCGGGGCAAAUGACAGUGGUGCAUGGUGUCGUCACUCUGUCUGAAUGUUGGUUAGUCCGCACGAGCCAACCUUGAUUUAGUGCAGCAUCAGUGGGCCUCUAAGUGAUGCCGUGACAACCGAAGAAGGGGGG